CCAUGCCAAACCCCAGCUUGCAUUUUGCGGAAAAAAAAAUUAUAAAUGGAAUCUAUAAUACAAAAUGAUCCAGUAAUAUUAAAUAAAUUGAACAUAAUCUGGUCUUUCGCAACAACACCUGGUAAAUAUUAAGCAAACAGGCAUUAUUUUUUCAUUGCAAUUCCAUGAUACACUAAUAGAAUCCAAAACAUGAAGAGACAUAACACAGAUGUAAGGUUUGGCAUUUCACAUUUAGGCUAAUUGCAAUGUGAACUGCUGCUAUCUCUCUGAAUCUCUAAUCUGGUGCCUCAUCCCGACAAUGGUCCACUCUGCAUUCAGUGAUAGCCAACUCCCUUUAACUCCAUUUUUGCGACCUCACUACCACCAUCUUUACCAAGAAACAAAAGCCGACCUGCAGAAGACAAAUUUAGGGACAAGAGAACUUGGAUAGAAAUUUAACAAGCAUGUGAAAGUCGUCAUGAACUGGGAAGCUUCCCUUAAGUAACCUACCAUAUAUGGAGUAAUUCAUAUUUAUUGGUGCCUUUAUUCCUAUCUGUGUACAAGUGAAAAACUCUUAAACUACUUUAUUCAGAUUUUCAUUAUGUGACCCACUUUGCACAGGUUCUAUGUAAACAUCCAGUGGUCGAUGCAGACAGCAGAAGCAUGAACUUGUACUGUAUUCAUACCCAACAUAAACAUAUAACAUCCAAGCUCAGUGUCAGAGUUGAAUUCUCAAAAACACAGAUUAGACUACAAAUCAUUGAGCACUUCGCUCAAAUAAGUAUGAAAAUGGUUAACGUACCAUCUCAACACAGGGCAAUCUCUCUUAUAAGUCAAACAGGACCACUUAUAGGAUUACUAAAGGUUUUGGUCUCCAGGUUUCCCUCUGCAUAUGAAAUUGACCUACCAAACCAGAUAAAUAUUGAAAGAAAGGUGUCCAUCAGAAUGCUACAUGAAGAUCCCAACCAAAUGUAAGAGCAAGAGGUAUUAAAUUAUUAAGUACACAGUUUGGCAAUUAAGAUAAUCUCCACAAAGUGCAAUUAAAUGCGACAUAUGAUGGUGAACUUUAAUAGAAACAAGCAUGAUGGAAGUUGUUCUUCGUCAAUGAUAGAUGUGAAAAGAUGAUUAUUAGACAAAAAAAACCCAGAAAGUAACCUAAUCAUGGUGUUCUAAAACAAAAACUAU
rnacentral:lncRNA from 1 species